rnacentral:rRNA from 1 species
GUUUAUUAAAAACAUGGCCUAUUGAAAAUAAUUUUAGGUCUGACCUGCCCAAUGAAUAAUUUAAUGGCCGCGGUAAUUUGACCGUGCAAAGGUAGCAUAAUCAUUAGUUUUUUAAUUGAAAGCUUGUAUGAAAGGUUUGAUGAAAAAAAGACUGUCUCUAUUUAAAUUUAUUAGAAAUUUAUUUUUAAGUAAGAAAGCUUAAAUAAUUAUAGAAGACGAGAAGACCCUAUAGAGUUUUAUAGUUUUAUAAAUAUAAAAAAAUUAGAAUAAUAAUAUUAUUAUUUAUAAAAUUAUUUAAUUGGGGUGAUUGAAAAAUUUAAUAAACUUUUUUAUAAUAUAAACAUUUAUUUUUGAGUAAUUGAUCCUUAUUUAAGAUUAAUAGAUAAAAUUACCUUAGGGAUAACAGCGUAAUUUUUUUUAGAGUUCUUAUCGAAAAAAAAGAUUGCGACCUCGAUGUUGGAUUAAAAUAAAUUAUUGGUGUAGAAGCUAAUAUAUUAGGUCUGUUCGACCUUUAAAAUUUUACAUGA